rnacentral:rRNA from 1 species
CCUACGGGAGGCUGCAGUGGGGAAUAUUGGGCAAUGGGCGCAAGCCUGACCCAGCAACGCCGCGUGAAGGAAGAAGGCUUUCGGGUUGUAAACUUCUUUUUAGAGGGAAGAGCAGAAGACGGUACCUCUUGAAUAAGCCACGGCUAACUACGUGCCAGCAGCCGCGGUAAUACGUAGGUGGCAAGCGUUAUCCGGAUUUACUGGGUGUAAAGGGCGUGUAGGCGGGAAAGCAAGUCAGAUGUGAAAACCAUGGGCUCAACCUGUGGCCUGCAUUUGAAACUGUUUUUCUUGAGUACUGGAGAGGCAGACGGAAUUCCUAGUGUAGCGGUGAAAUGCUUAGAUAUUAGGAGGAACACCAGUGGCGAAGGCGGUCUGCUGGACAGCAACUGACGCUGAGGCGCGAAAGCGUGGGGAGCAAACAGGAUUAGAUACCCUGGUAGUC